rnacentral:rRNA from 1 species
AUUGAACGCUGGCGGCAGGCCUAACACAUGCAAGUCGAGCGAAAGAGUGUGCUUGCACACUCGAAAGCGGCGGACGGGUGAGGAACGCGUGGGCAUCUGCCUGUAGAUGGGGGAUAGCCCGGAGAAAUCCGGAUUAAUACCGCAUAAUACCUGAGGGUUAAAGUGGAGGAUCGCAAGACUUCACGUCUACAGAUGAGCCCACGUCAGAUUAGCUAGUUGGUAGGGUAAAGGCCUACCAAGGCGACGUUGUGUAGCUGGCCUGAGAGGGUGGCCAGCCAGACUGGAACAGGGACACGGUCCAGACUCCUACGGGAGGCAGCAGUGGGGAAUAUUGGGCAAUGGGCGCAAGCCUGAUCCAGCCAUGCCGCGUGUGUGAAGAAGGCCUUCGGGUUGUAAAGCACUUUAAGUUGGGAGGAAGGUUCGAUGGCUAAUAUCCAUCGGAAUUGACGUUACCAACAGAAUAAGCACCGGCUAAUUCCGUGCCAGCCGCCGCCGUAA